AAAAAGGGCAUCUGCUGUGACUAGCACAAGGACAACAGAGGAAUCUCUUGUUUACCUUGCGGAAUCAACAUCAAAAGAUUUCGGAUGCAAAAUUUUUGAUGUGGAGUUGCCAAUGAUCGAUUAUCUUGGUGCUCCU